UGAAUACCUCCUCCUUCCCAAUUCCCAUGGUAGAGGCUACAAAGGGAUUCCGGUCUUACUUGGAGUCACACAAUUACAAAUGUUGGGUAAAAUGCUAAUAAGGUUUCCCUUUACUUUUCCCUUAUUUUAGAUAUUCAUCCAUAUAUUCUGAUCCAAAAAUCUAACAUCAACUCUUGUAUCUUGCUCUGCAGCUUGUAAAAUCCACAUAAAAUGUGUCACUUCCCCUGCUAUUGUGGUGUCUUUAUUAUUGGAAUAGGUUGUCUCGGAAGGUAAAAUCUGAUUCUAUUAUUAUAACUUUAAAUUUAUUUGCAAGUUCAUGAUAUUAUUCUUUGUUUUCCCCCCCUAAAACAAUAGAGAUAGUAACCAACGAAUUCAUGAUAUAUUCGCUACUACAAAAUAAAUAAUAGAUUAAUAGGACCCAUUAUAUAUAAUCCCGGUUUUAAGGAAAUCUGGGUUCUAUUUAAUAUAAACCUAAUCCUAUUUGAUAUUUUCUUUAUAAGACACGUUUUUAUAAGUCAAUAGGGCUCUAUGCUGUCCUAAAUUCAUAAAUUUUCAUUUCCUUUGAAUUUUUGAUUUCAUUGCUGCUCCGUAAUCGCUCAAAAUUUCAUUCCCGCUCUACCAAAAUUUUCAUGACUCUUUCGAGGAUAAAGAAAAAGAUACCUUGUAACUUGACAUCAAUUUUGCCAGAAAGGUUUAGUUAGUAUUCUUUUUUUGCUGAUGUAUUGUUCAGUUUAGUUUAACACUUCAUUUACCGAAUUUAAAUGUUACAUAUUUUGGUUAGUCAUCAUAAUGUCCUCCAGUUAAAGAUUUUGGUAUUUAAAUUGUUUAUUUGUGUACCUGGAGGUUGAUUUGAGACGAUGAUCUAGAGUUAUUAUGAUGUAUAAUACAACAUUAACCCCCUAUGGCGACAACAUUUUCUGACCCUGUACCAAUGACAUGUCGUCGUCAUAGGGUAUACCGACAACCAAGGUUGUUACUGAGUCGCCGGCAUAGGUCAAAAAGGGUGUCAGCAUAGGUGUCGUCGACAUAGGUUCCUACUUCUCUGACGACAUGUCGUCGGUACAGGUUUCGUCGAUGAUAAUUUCGAAAAAAAAAAGUUUUAUUUAAUUACCAGUGACGACGAUAUGUCGUCGGGAUAAUUUAGCGACGAUAUGUCGUCGGGAUAUGUACAAGCUAUCACGACGACAUGUUGUCAUUACAGGUUUUUCACAGUUGUCGAUUAAAUACCUAUAUCGACGACUUGUCGUCGGGAGAGGCACUGAUUUUUUUUUUUUACUGAUUCUGUUCUUUGUCAUUCCUAUAUUUUUAACAAAUCCAAACACUUUGCAGCAUAAUCAAUUAAGAUACAAUAACUAGCUAUCAUUGUUCAAAUUGAAAACAUCAAAUUCAAGUUUAAUAUUAAGUACUUAACAUUGUUCAAAAUAAUACAAAACAUCAACCAUCAUUAUCUUCUUCUUCUUCUUCUUCUUCUCCUUCUUCUUCCAUCCUCUUGGGCUCGCUUGAGAGGUACUUCCUUGUGUGUUAGAGUUGAAUAGAAAGUUAGGAAAUGGUGGUGGUUGGAAGUUAGGAAUACAUGCCCCCAAUGAUGCAUUAUUAUGUUGCAAGUAUUCUUGCAUUUGUUGUGCAUCAAAUUGGGAUUGAGAUUAUGAAGAUUUGGAAGUGGAAGGCCGUUCAUUUGGAAUUAAACUGAAGUUGACGGUUGGUCUCCUACCCACUCCGCGAGCAUGCCUGCGUCUCAUCCCAAGGGCACAUUCUAGACAUUCUUCCUCAUUUACUUCUCUGCCUUCCCCGACCUCGCUUUGCAUUUUCUCAUAUUCGUCUUGAAUUUUCUCCUAAAAUAAAGAAAACAAUAAAAAUACGAUAAUUAAAACAAAUAACUAAAUUUAAUCAUUAAAAUAAUAAUAAUAAUAAUAAUAAUAUAUUUUACACAAAAAAACUAUAAUUAAUAAUAAUAACAUAUUUAAAAAAAACGCAUUCAUUUCGUUUAUUACUUACCCAAUCUUGUUGUGUUUGACUUGUACACCAACCCGAACCUUCUUUCUAGCGCAUUUGUCUCCAACCCUCAAUAUGUUGUGGCUUCAUUCCCAUUUGUUCCUAUAAUANAUAUAUAUAUACUAAUACAUUUUGUUACCUCUAAAUAACGUCGUUGAGUGAUAUAAUACAAUAAAUUUCUUAUAAUUAUCAUGGCUUUCUCUUUUAUUAUAAAACAACUUGUAUUUAUUAUUACUACACAGAUAUAGGACUCAUACUUGGAGAAAUAUAUCCGAGAAUGGAAAGAGAAAUCUUAACAGUAGUGUUAAUGGUUCAAUCUUAAUAGAUAUAGGUGGAUCAAUUACAACAGAACAACACCGCAAGAAGAUGGUAAAUGAAUCUUGUGUAUAAAUUUUAGUAAUUUGUUUUUUGUUUAGCAUAAAUUACAAGUAUGUUUUUUUUUUGUAGAAGAAUGGAAAGGAGGAAUACCCUUUGUGGGGAGAUGUUUUCAAGCAGACUCACCUUGAAAAGAGUGCAACGGUGAAGUUGGCAUCUGGAGAGUUGAUUGGGAGCCAACCUGAGCAUUGGGUUAAUGAGAAUUUUUGGACCGUAUUUGUAAGUUAUCUUUAUCCUUUUUAGAUUUAAGAUUUGAUGUAUUUAAUUAUUUUCCAUGUGUUUAGAGUGGUAACAAUUUUAAUGUUUUGGUAAAUUGGAGGACAAAUAUGAGAAGACAAUGUGUGAGAAAUAUGGCCCCAACCCUAGUCAGCAUCCGUUGGGAGAUGUUGAAAUAUGGGAGCAUUGUGUUGGCGGGAAAAAGAAGGGGCGAGUUUACGGGGUAGGAUCUGAGUUUAAGGGGUAGGAUCAUCAGAUCCGGGCAACGUCGUGUCGGGGACACCUUACAAGUAGUCCUGACAAUUUGAUACAAGACACGAUUAAAACGAAACGAACACGAUACAACUUUUCCGUGUAUGUGUUUUAGAAAUUCAUGUUUCGUGUUUAUUUGUAUCUAACAUAUAUUUUAAAUCCGUGUUUCGUGUCUUAUACAUGUCAAACACGAUUUAACCAGUUUAAACACGUAUAAGACAUGAUACAAAUUCGUUUUGACACGUGACGCAUAUAAACACAUAUAUAUUUU
rnacentral:lncRNA from 1 species